UACGGGGGGGGUAAGCGUUGUUCGGAAUUACUGGGCGUAAAGGGCUCGUAGGCGGCCAACUAAGUCAGACGUGAAAUCCCUCAGCUUAACUGGGAACUGCGUCUGAUACUGGAUGGCUUGGAUUCGGGAGAGGAAUGCGGAAUUCCAGGUGUAGCGGUGAAAUGCGGAGAUAUCUGGAGGAACACCGGUGGCGAAGGCGGCAUUCUGGACCGAUAUUGACGCUGAGGAGCGAAAGCCAGGGGAGCAAACGGG
rnacentral:rRNA from 1 species